GGGGCUGUGGGCCAGCCUGGUUAAGCUCCCACCUUUGGGAGGUGGUGACCCCAGUUCAAAUCUGGGCAGCCCCA
rnacentral:tRNA from 1 species